rnacentral:rRNA from 1 species
GACAGAGGGGGCAAGCGUUGCUCGGAAUCACUGGGCGUAAAGGGCGCGUAGGCGGGAUGGCAAGUCGGUCGUGAAAUCCUUCGGCUCAACCGAAGAACGUCGGCCGAUACUGCCGUUCUUGAGGGAUGCAGAGGAGAUUGGAAUUCCCGGUGUAGCGGUGAAAUGCGUAGAUAUCUGGAGGAACACCGGUGGCGAAGGCGCGAUUCUGGUCCGUUACUGACGCUGAGGCGCGAAAGCCAGGGGAGCAAACGGG